AGAAUCAACGCUGGCGGCGUGCCUAACACAUGCAAGUCGAACGGGAAGGGGGGCUUCGGCUCCCCCGAGAGUGGCGUACGGGUGAGUAACACGUGGGUAAUCUGCCUUUGGGUGGGGAAUAACAAUCCGAAAGGGUUGCUAAUACCGCAUAACGCAGCGGCACCGCAUGGUGACAGUUGUUAAAGCGGGGGAUCGCAAGACCUCGCGCCUGAAGAGGAGCUCGCGCCCGAUUAGCUAGUUGGCGGGGUAAGAGCCCACCAAGGCUUCGAUCGGUAGCCGGCCUGAGAGGGCGGUCGGCCACACUGGCACUGAGACACGGGCCAGACUCCUACGGGAGGCAGCAGUGGGGAAUUUUGGGCAAUGGGCGAAAGCCUGACCCAGCAACGCCGCGUGAAGGACGAAAUCCCUCUGGGAUGUAAACUUCGAAAGUCGGGAAAAGAAAUCGACGAAGGAUAACUACCCUUCGUGGAAUAACGGUAACCGACGUAAGCCCCGGCUAACUACGUGACCAGCAGCCGC
rnacentral:rRNA from 1 species